rnacentral:rRNA from 1 species
CAUUACACAAAUAUGAAGCCGGACUGGGAUAGGGCCUCGCUGCCUUGCCCGUCUGGCGCCAUAUUCACCCAUGUCUUUUUGCGUACUACUUGUUUCCUUGGCGGGUCCGCCCGCCAAUUGGACCUUAUUCAAACCUUUUUUUCAGUUGCAAUCAGCGUCAGCAAAACAAAUGUAAUCAAUUACAACUUUCAACAACGGAUCUCUUGGUUCUGGCAUCGAUGAAGAACGCAGCGAAAUGCGAUAAGUAGUGUGAAUUGCAGAAUUCAGUGAAUCAUCGAAUCUUUGAACGCACAUUGCGCCCUUUGGUAUUCCAAAGGGCAUGCCUGUUCGAGCGUCAUUUGUACCCUCAAGCUUUGCUUGGUGUUGGGCGUCUUGUCUCUCUCCCGAGACUCGCCUUAAAAUCAUUGGCAGCCGGCCUACUGGUUUCGGAGCGCAGCACAUUAUUUGCGCUCUUGUCCAGCCGCGGUCGCGCGUCCAUGAAGCUUCUUUCAACCUUUUGAC